rnacentral:rRNA from 1 species
AUGCAGUCGAACGGGAAGCCACCUUCGGGUGGCGGAGAGUGGCGCACGGGUGAGUAACACGUAGCUGACCUGCCCUGGAGAGGGGAAUAACCGGUGGAAACAGCGGCUAAAACCUCAUGAACCCGCCCUGAAUAAGUAGGGGCGAGCAAAAACUACGGUGCUCUGGGAUGGGGCUGCGGGCCAUCAGCUAGUUGGUGCGGUAACGGCGCACCAAGGCGACGACGGCUAGGGGGCCUGAGAGGGUGACCCCCCACACUGGGACUGAGACACGGCCCAGACUCCUACGGGAGGCAGCAGUCAGGAAUAUUGCGCAAUGGACGAAAGUCUGACGCAGCGACGCCGCGUGGGUGAUGAAGGCCUUCGGGUUGUAAAGCCCUUUUCUGCGUGACGAGGAAGGACGGUAGCGCAGGAAUAAGUCUCGGCUAACUACGUGCCAGCAGCCGCGGUAAAACGUAGGAGGCGAACGUUAUCCGGAAUUACUGGGCGUAAAGGGCGCGCAGGUGGCAGAUUAAGUCGGUCGUGAAAGCUCCCGGCUAAACUGGGAGAGGUCGGACGAUACUGAUCUGCUCGAGGGCGACAGAGGAGCGUAGAAUUCAGCGUGUAGUGGUGAAAUGCGUAGAGAUGCUGAGGAAUACCAGAGGCGAAGGCGGCGCUCUGGGUCGCACCUGACACUGAGGCGCGAAAGCACGGGGAGCGAACGGGAUUAGAAACCCCGGUAGUCCGUGCCGUAGACGAUGCCUACUGGAUGUUCGGCCCUCUGUGGAGGGCUGGGUAUCGUAGCUAACGCGUUAAGUAGGCCGCCUGGGGACUACGGCCGCAAGGCUAAAACUCAAAGGAAUUGACGGGGACCCGCACAAGCAGCGGAGCGUGUGGUUUAAUUCGAGGCUACGCGAAGAACCUUACCUGGGUUUGACAUCACGGUAGUAGGGAAGCGAAAGCUCUCCCGACCUUCGGGAGCCGUGACAGGUGUUGCAUGGC